rnacentral:rRNA from 1 species
CUCAGGAUGAACGCUGGCGGCGUGCUUAACACAUGCAAGUCGAACGAUGAAGCAGAGCUUGCUCCGUGGAUCAGUGGCGAACGGGUGAGUAACACGUGAGCAAUCUGCCCCUGACUCUGGGAUAAGCGCUGGAAACGGCGUCUAAUACUGGAUACGAGCCGUGACGGCAUGUUCAACGGUUGGAAAGAUUUUUCGGUCAGGGAUGAGCUCGCGGCCUAUCAGCUUGUUGGUGAGGUAAUGGCUCACCAAGGCGUCGACGGGUAGCCGGCCUGAGAGGGUGACCGGCCACACUGGGACUGAGACACGGCCCAGACUCCUACGGGAGGCAGCAGUGGGGAAUAUUGCACAAUGGGCGCAAGCCUGAUGCAGCAACGCCGCGUGAGGGAUGACGGCCUUCGGGUUGUAAACCUCUUUUAGCAGGGAAGAAGCGAAAGUGACGGUACCUGCAGAAAAAGCGCCGGCUAACUACGUGCCAGCAGCCGCGGUAAUACGUAGGGCGCAAGCGUUAUCCGGAAUUAUUGGGCGUAAAGAGCUCGUAGGCGGUUUGUCGCGUCUGCUGUGAAAUCCCGAGGCUCAACCUCGGGUCUGCAGUGGGUACGGGCAGACUAGAGUGCGGUAGGGGAGAUUGGAAUUCCUGGUGUAGCGGUGGAAUGCGCAGAUAUCAGGAGGAACACCGAUGGCGAAGGCAGAUCUCUGGGCCGUAACUGACGCUGAGGAGCGAAAGGGUGGGGAGCAAACAGGCUUAGAUACCCUGGUAGUCCACCCCGUAAACGUUGGGAACUAGUUGUGGGGUCCAUUCCACGGAUUCCGUGACGCAGCUAACGCAUUAAGUUCCCCGCCUGGGGAGUACGGCCGCAAGGCUAAAACUCAAAGGAAUUGACGGGGACCCGCACAAGCGGCGGAGCAUGCGGAUUAAUUCGAUGCAACGCGAAGAACCUUACCAAGGCUUGACAUACACGAGAACGCUGCAGAAAUGUGGAACUCUUUGGACACUCGUGAACAGGUGGUGCAUGGUUGUCGUCAGCUCGUGUCGUGAGAUGUUGGGUUAAGUCCCGCAACGAGCGCAACCCUCGUUCUAUGUUGCCAGCACGUAAUGGUGGGAACUCAUGGGAUACUGCCGGGGUCAACUCGGAGGAAGGUGGGGAUGACGUCAAAUCAUCAUGCCCCUUAUGUCUUGGGCUUCACGCAUGCUACAAUGGCCGGUACAAAGGGCUGCGAUACCGUAAGGUGGAGCGAAUCCCAAAAAGCCGGUCCCAGUUCGGAUUGAGGUCUGCAACUCGACCUCAUGAAGUCGGAGUCGCUAGUAAUCGCAGAUCAGCAACGCUGCGGUGAAUACGUUCCCGGGUCUUGUACACACCGCCCGUCAAGUCAUGAAAGUCGGUAACACCUGAAGCCGGUGGCCCAACCCUUGUGGAGGGAGCCGUCGAAGGUGGGAUCGGUAAUUAGGACUAAGUC